AGUGAACGCUGGCGGUAGACCUAACACAUGCAAGUCGAACGGCAGCACAGUAAGAGCUUGCUCUUACGGGUGGCGAGUGGCGGACGGGUGAGGAAUACAUCGGAAUCUACUUUUUCGUGGGGGAUAACGUAGGGAAACUUACGCUAAUACCGCAUACGACCUACGGGUGAAAGCAGGGGAUCUUCGGACCUUGCGCGAUUGAAUGAGCCGAUGUCGGAUUAGCUAGUUGGCGGGGUAAAGGCCCACCAAGGCGACGAUCCGUAGCUGGUCUGAGAGGAUGAUCAGCCACACUGGAACUGAGACACGGUCCAGACUCCUACGGGAGGCAGCAGUGGGGAAUAUUGGACAAAGGGUGCAAGCCUGAUCCAGCCAUACCGCGUGGGUGAAGAAGGCCUUCGGGUUGUAAAGCCCUUUUGUUGGGAAAGAAAAGCAGCAGGUUAAUACCCCGCUGUUCUGACGGUACCCAAAGAAUAAGCACCGGCUAACUUCGUG
rnacentral:rRNA from 1 species